rnacentral:rRNA from 1 species
UACGUAGGUGGCAAGCGUUGUCCGGAUUUACUGGGCGUAAAGAGCGCGCAGGCGGUCGAGUAAGUCGAAUGUGAAAGCCCCCGGCUUAACUGGGGAGGGUCAUUCGAUACUGUUCGACUUGAAGGCAGGAGAGGGCAGCAGAAUUCCCGGUGUAGUGGUGAAAUGCGUAGAUAUCGGGAGGAACACCAGUGGCGAAGGCGACUACCUGGCCUGUUUCUUGACGCUGAGGCGCGAAAGCUAGGGGAGCAAACGGG